ensembl:lncRNA
AGCGGGAAUGCGGCGGCCCCGCACCGCGCCUGACCCCGCAGCCCCGCGGGCCGCUCCCCCACUCCAAAGCUGCUAUUUACGGGGCUUUCGCGUUUUCUUGCAAAUCAAGACCAAAAAAAAAAAAAAAAAAAAGAGAGAGAGAGAGGGAGAGAGAGAGAAAAGAAAAGCAAAAAAGAUGUAGAGAGCAAAACAAUGCGGGAGAUCUGGGCUGCAGCGGCAGAGCGGCUCCGGGAGCUGCUGGCCGCCCGCUCCGCACGGGCACGGCAGGGACAGGGAUAGGGCGGGGGGCACGGCCGCCCGCAGCCCUGAGUGCCGCCGCGGGAGCCACAUAUAAUGUAAGGACUGCAGAAAUGCAAGCAGAGUGUAGCAGCAAUGUGAUCAAAGCUUUGAACUUCUCUGCAUUAAAAAGCCGCCGAAGCAUUGCAGAGUCCCACGGACAUGUGGCUGAGGGGUGUGAAUGCCUGCAUCACUUUGAAGGUUUUAAGCGAAACGAAGGGGCUGUGGAGGCACUUUGAGUUGCUGAACGGCUCCUCGGGAUUUUGGCUUUUGGGAACGCUCCUAAGAACUCCUUCUUUAUGCUGUGGUGUGCAGAGGCACGGCAGUUUAUGCUUAAAUCUGCUUCGUAAGCACCCAGCCCUGCCAUCCAGCUCAUCAGCUGUCUGCUAUUUCGUGCUGCACUCCUCCUGACCAUGUAUACGUGCUGUACCCCUGUGUCUGAGCCCGCUUGUUCUGUAGCUUCGUGGACACGAGUCAGAUUUAUGUGCUUGUGUGUGUAGGAGCUGGGCUUCAGUGGCGAGAGAAACAUCUCUGUUUCUAAAUCGGGUCUUCUACUGUAUGGUGGCUGUAUGCGCUGCAUAGCAUUGCUUCGGCAGCCGAAUUUUUCUAUCAGCUUCACGCAAUGUAACGCUCCAAGAGGCAGACAGGGCAGGCAGCUCUACGUUGCAUUUAAAUGGGCACCAUAAAGGCUCGAUGGCCAAGUGCCCGAUGCUGCGCCCCUUUCAAUGUCCCGCAGCGGGAGCUGCACCCCCAGCUCACCCGGCAGCCCCACGAGCAAAGUGCCGCUGCCAGCCAGGAGGGCCCCACGGUGAGGAGGAAAGCACAGCUCCAGCAGCACUGACAGCAGGCCGGCUGGGUGCUGGCUGGGCUCAGCGACCAGGGCUGCACAUGUGUCACUUCUGCGGGGUUCUUUAAGUGCUUGCAGAAUUUAAAGGCACGCACCGCCUGACAGGGGCCCAUCUUGCAAUACAUUAACCAGAUCUUUCUGAGUUGAUUAAUGGCUUCGGGCUUUUGUUGUCGGAUUUUUUUGUUUUUAUUAUUUUUACUGUAAUACAGCUGGGCCCUAUGCUACAGAAAUAGAUAAUGGGAGAAACCUUGGCUCUCCCGAAGAUGGUCACAAAACUCAUUGCCUUCACUGGAGUCACGUUUUCAUUGACUGCGUCGUAAUAUUUGGUAUUAACCAUAUGGGAGAGAUUUAAUAUUGGCUUUUAGAAGAAGCAGAAUUAGCUCCUCUACAAAUGAUUUGCAUGGGUUGUUAUCAGUUUAUUUCUCCAGGUAAUAUAAAUGGCAACACUAAGUAUAAAAUAGACUAAUAGCUUUGGAACGUUUUGAUUUCCUCUCAACUACAGUGUAGUUCAACUGAAAUCUUAACUUCAAAUCGACAAACUUGCACUGCUGUAUGUAAGACCACCAGGUCUGAUCUGGACCGUGUGAGAGCAUGGGAAGACAUUCAAAGGCAGAAGUGACUAUUUACGUAUCAUGACGCUUUUUAGGACCAUGGAGAUGUGCAAUUAUAUGUCCAGGAUGCAUUAAUACAAGAGGCAGUUAGUUAAGCAGGAGAGGCAGUAAUAAUUUGCAGCCCUCACCCUUGUACAUUUAAUGGUAUUGGUUGGGCUUCCCCUUGAUAUUUUAAACGGUUGCAUCGUAAUGGGCUUCUUAAAAUCUGAUUUAAACCAUAACACCAGGAUGGAACAUUCUCCUAAAAAAUGGGGGGGGAAAAACUGCUGGCCUCCCAGCCACUCCCACAGCCAUCAUUUCACAGACAGUUUUUUCUGAUCUGUUAGCCUGCCAGACAAGAAUGGCAUCUAUCCAGUGUAAAUAUUACAUUUUCAACAUUUGGACGGUGUUUUGAGCAAUAUUUCUCAUCCCCUGAGAACAUAUUCUUUAUAAAUACAGCAUUAUCUGCAGUUCAGAGUUAAAUUGUGGUGGGAGGUGGCUUUAUAACGUGAAAGAUAAUUAAAGAACUCUGUGUAUGGGCUCACUUACUCUAGAAUAAACCUUCUUCCUUUCAGUUAUUUUAAUUUACAGCGAAAAUGACUUAAGUACAGCAUCAAACACACUUUUUCUCUGGAAUAGGGAGGAUCCAGACAUGAUUUUGAAGGAAUAACUCCAUGUGUAGACAAGAUCUGUUGCUACUGUUCAGCAGCACAAUCUGCUCUGUGCCUAUCUUAAAGUGGAAAGCCACACUAGCAUCCCUGGGACUUUGUAUGCUCAUUGGAGUAAAUCCUUCACUGUGAGUAUUCCAGUAAAAACCCACAGACAGUGCCAGAUGCUGUCAGAGCUCCUCACUGGAAACAGUUAUGAAAACGAGUUGAUCUCCAUCCACAGCAAGUGGUGGAUUUUCUUAGAGAAAGAACUUGUCCUGAAAUUCCCAUCUUUGUUUUAAAUCCUUCUCUUCCUCUUCAGAGGGAAAACAGGCAAUAUUUUAACCAAGACCAAAUAAGUUUCUUUUUACUCAUGGUUCUUUAACUAAAACCAAGUUGGCUGCUUUGCACAGACCUGUGCAGGGGAGGAACUGUAGCCGACAUGGCAGUUUGAUCACAAGCUUUAGACUGGUGUGGAUUUACACAACUGAAUUAUAUGCCCUGAAAUUUGUGUUUACAAUGAAAAAAAAUCUGACCUAUCUUUAACUACAGAAGCAUUGCUUAGGACUGUUUUAAUAUUUACCAGAUACAGCCCAUUGAACAGGAACAAACAUAAUCCUGAAAAUGCUGGCUUCACAUUUUCCUGGUUGUAGGUAAUUUUCCAUCCUCAUAACCUGCUGUUGGGAAAGAAUGUCCUUAUUUCCUGGCUUUGAAGUACAGCUUCCCACCUUCCCUUCAGCCUGCGCCUCACCAUACUUUGUGCCUUGUGUUUGCCCAAACCCAAUAAAAUGUUAUCAGCUGCAUUGUGACUCUCGUUUGAAACCUCUGCCUACAGACACCCAAGGCAUUGUUUUGAUGGUACACUAAUGCCUGGGGCAUGGAGCCAAAGUGGGAAAGGAGCCCUGCCUGCAGAAGGAGAAAAGAAGUUGGAGAUUUUUAUAAUGAAGAGCUAGAUAAGUAAAAAUAUGGCUUUCAACCUGGCAGAAGUGCUUCACUAUUGGCCUGAAAGAGCAAGGCGUCCGUGCGCUGGGCAGCUCCUGGUCACAGCAGAGGCUGGCUGAGGCCCCAGUGGGCAGCAGGGUUUUCUCCCAAGCCCCACCACAGCCGUGCUGGGUGCCAUGGCCCUGCACCAGCUCUUCCUGGUCAGAGCUUGGCCUUGAGCUUGCAGCCUUUGUAGAUGCAAAAAUAACCCUGCAAAUAUGAAGCCUGAGUAAACUAAGGAGCUUGCAGGAAGCUCAAAAAUAAUUGUUCUGAGAAGUGUGAUCCGUGCCCAUCAAGUGUGUACCUUAGAGGCCUGAUAACAAUGCAUUCAGUGCAAGGCAGUGUUAACUCUUAAAUGGCAGGCCAUGCCAGUAGAAAUAACUGGCUAAACUGCUUGUCCUGCUGGUGGAGCCAGUCCACUGUGGAGGAAAUGUGAACUUCUCAAGCCUUAGUCCUUGCCAUUGGAAAGGGAACAUCGCGGUUUAGUGCCAAGGCAUCUCAUUCCUGUCCCUCUGUCCCCUGGAGGCUGCAGUAUGCACAGAGCUGAACCAGAACACGUUUGGAGUGCCCCCGGAGUUUGUAGGGUAAGCCAUAAGCACAAGGAAUAUGGAUGGAUCUACUGCUUCUAUUUAACUGCAUUGUCUGGCUUAUGCCCUCAUUACAAUAAAGCAACAGAUGUGGAAUGCUAUAGGAAGAGGGAAGACAACCUAUAGCAAAAGAAUUGGGCUACCUAUAAGGUAGUGUGAAUGAGAUGGUAAGGGACAGAAACCUGCCUUGUCUUCGUCCUAGUAUGCGCAGUGGUGAGGCCACAGCAUAGAUUGGUGCUCUCAGAAGCACAGACCUGUUUGGAGCAAAAGCAUUAGUAUCUUUUGUUAUUGUUUAUCUGUUUUAUGCUAACAGUAACUGCAAUAUUUUGCCAGUAAAGAGUUUUGUCUGAGAAGUGGGUUUUCAUACACAGACCAUACCACCAGUCACAUCAGAGUUCCUGACAGUCUAAGGCAGAGAUGAAGUUGAAAAUACAAAGUUCUGGUCCUUUUGGACAGCGAAGUCUCCUCUUCAUGUAUCACUGUGCCUGUAGCAGAUGAAGCUCUUUAUCUGCUCCUGUAACAUGGGAACUGGAGCCUCUCUGCCAUCCUGCACUUCUCCCCACCUGGGGCUCUUCAGCAGCACCACUAGCACACAUUCCUUCCCUGCUAAGUGGACAACACCUUCAGUCUAUUAAUGAGGGAUACCAUCUGUUUGCCUCAAAGCUCACAUCACUGCAGUGUGAGCAGAGCUGGCAGAAUUCUGAGCCCAAACUGGAAGGUAUGUCCCUUCAGUUCUGUACUACUAUUGAUGGUGAUCCUGGAUGUCACAUGGAUCUCUGAGGGCUUCUGAAGUACUACCAUAACUUUUCAUCAUCAUCCACAUAUCAGCAACAGCAUCAUGGCCCCAAGAUUCUGGAGUUGAAGAAGCAUUUGGGCAUCUCUCUCAGAGAUGUGGUUUGAAUUUUGAGUGGCCCUGUGUGGAGCUACGAGUUAGAACUGAUGAUCCUUGCAGGUCCCUUCCAACUCGAGAUAUUCUGUGAUUUUGAAAUCUAACAGAAUCUUGCUUACUUUAAUUUAUUCCCAUUUCUAUCGUGUGGAUGUUUCCCCCAUACAGAACAGGAAGAGAAGGUCUGUAUCCUCAGCUUCAGUGAACUGAUUCCUCAGACCUUGCUAGUAUGCUGGGAACUGCAAUUUGCUAACCCCUUUGAGGAAAACCAGUAUAGUCUUUGGUGGUCUGCACAGCCAGUUUUGCCUCCUAGCUUAAGAAAAUACCAUUUUGAUUGAGUUUCAGCUUUCUCAGCUCUGAACAUCAAGCCCAGGUCUGCAGAUGCCCUUCUGAGCUGUUUGCUCUGAGCAUUGCACACGUUUCCCCUGAAAACACAAAUAGC